AUUGAACGCUGGCGGCAGGCUUAACACAUGCAAGUCGAGCGGGGUGAUGGUGCUUGCACUAUCACUUAGCGGCGGACGGGUGAGUAAUGCUUAGGAAUCUGCCUAUUAGUGGGGGACAACAUCUCGAAAGGGAUGCUAAUACCGCAUACGUCCUACGGGAGAAAGCAGGGGAUCACUUGUGACCUUGCGCUAAUAGGUGAGCCUAAGUCGGAGUAGCUAGUUGGUGGGGUAAAGGCCUACCCAGGCGACGAUCUGUAGCGGGUCUGAAAGGAUGAUCCGCCACACUGGGACUGAGACACGGCCCAGACUCCUACGGGAGGCAGCAGUGGGGAAUAUUGGACAAUGGGGGGAACCCUGAUCCAGCCAUGCCGCGUGUGUGAAGAAGGCCUUAUGGUUGUAAAGCACUUUAAGCGAAGAGGAGGCUCUUUUGGUUAAUACCCAAGAUGAGUGGACGUUACUCGCAGAAUAAGCACCGGCUAACUCUGUGUCAGCAGCCGCCGUAA
rnacentral:rRNA from 1 species